CGUUUUGGCGGCUGUGCGCGGGAGCACUUUUGAGUGCACCGGGUUUUGGUGGAUUGACCUGGACUUCCACACCUGCGCACAGCUGCCACCCUC
rnacentral:antisense_RNA from 2 species